rnacentral:lncRNA from 1 species
CACAGAAGAAGAGCCUUGAAUUGGGUGUGGGUCAGAAGAAAAGUUAAGGAGACAGGUUCUGGAUCUCUGAGAAGACUUAAGAGGAAGCAGAAAGUCCUGGUCCGUGAUAUUAGACACCCCUGACUUUGCUCACGGUGUUUCAUGUUUCUAAGUCCUGAAAUCAUAAAUACCUGAGAAGCCCUGCCCUCUGGGAGGUCUUCCUCCCACGUGUGAGUGAUUCUCUCCUUGAUGUAUUAUUACUAUACAAAUUGAAUACUGGACGUGUCCCACUCUUAGCUCCUUACUUAACGAACAGUCUCUACUCAGUGCCACUGCUGUCUCCCAGCUGUAGAAUUAGACCAGAAGAAGAAAAGGAACCUGAAAGAUCUCAUCCAUAGCCAAAACCUCUGACCCUGAGUGAAAGCAUGGGCCAGGGGUUUUGGGGAGGGAAAUCCUGGAGAGGUGGUCAAGGUGGAAAAUCAUAAAAACUCAAAGGCUCAGACUAAAUCAAGAAAAGAACAGACUUGGAUACUUACUAACUUUAUGCAAGUCAGCCUUGAAUAAACAGGUGUUCACCAAACUAAGAGGAAGAAUUUUUUAAAUGUGCAAGAAUUCUGCAACAUCUGCUUCUGCAACGGUGGAGUAAAGACCUCCAAAUUCUACUCCUCCAGAAAAGUGACAAGAACAUUGCAAAAUCUGUCAAAAUCCACUUUUUCAGAACUCCGAAAAUUAACUAAAGAUUUGCAACCAUCCAAAGAUUGUUUAUUCAAGAAAAAUGGCGGAAUCUCAAUAAGAACUAAGCCUUUAACUUGCCCUAAUCUCAUAUGUCUUUCCCCAACUCCAUGGCAGCCUUGAAAAUAAACAGUCCUAUGUGAUGAGAAAACAGCUAUUUUGAGUUGCUGCCCAGGCAUUUUAUAGUAUGACAACCCUCCUCACACCCAAAGUGGGGACAUCUGGAUAAGGACUGGAGCUUGGGAUCCCACCACAAGUUCCUGCUUCGCUUUUCCCUGGACACCUUUUAAAAUAAGCACUAAAAGUUGAGGCUUUGAAAAGCUAGUGAUGACCACCUCAACCACCUUACAAGUAAUAGGUGCUUGCUACCCUGCUGUCUGUCUCCUGCUUGCUAAUGACAUAGGAUGAAGGACUUCCCCCCGCCCUGUUUCUGGCAUCUGUAAAUAAUAAAUCUUGUGACUUUACUUCCUUUGUAUGAGUGUAUUGAAACUGCAUCUUCAAUCAAAAUGGCUCUGAGGUUUCCGCUAACCCCAAAUGGGAGCUCGGAUGCCGAGGGAGCUGCUUGCUGCCCCUGUGUGGGUGGCUUGUGCCUCCUCAUUCAGCAGGUCAUGAUCUGCUUAAUUUUAACUUAACACACCAGCUACAAGCCCCACAAUGCACCCUGCAGCUACAGUCACUGUGAAACCAGCAACCAAGUAGCCACUAAAAGGUUCUGAACAGGUUUUGAGCACCCCGAAGUCCCCUGUCCAGAGAAUUGUUCUUAUUUGACCUGUCUGGAAGUCCACUGAAAAACUCCAUUCUCAAGGUCUGCCUCUACUUGACCUGACUCGGAGCUCUGCUCUGGGUAAACAGCCCAGCUGCAGGCCAUUUGUCGAACAGGAUUAGCAGCAGUCUUUUAGCAUAGUGCUGCCUGAAGUGGCAUUACCAGUUGGGGUGAACAAGAAACUUACCAAAAAUCUUAAAAGAAAAAACUGGGGAAUGAGAAGUCCGUAAGAGUUUUGAAAGCUCUAAAUAUUCCUGAGAGUCUAGAAGGUCACCCUCAUGGACAGAGUAGUGCACAUGGCACAGAAACACCUGAGAAGGCCCUAUGCUCUCACAUAUAGCUGACCUUGAGGCCUCAUGCAAGCAGGAAGUGAGGCUAAGGCAGAGCUGUAGACUGAUGGCUGGAGUGUUGAAGCUAUGCCCCAGUGCACACACAGAGUCCUC